rnacentral:rRNA from 1 species
GACGAACGCUGGCGGCGUGCUUAACACAUGCAAGUCGAACGGAAAGGCCUCUUUCGGGGGGUACUCGAGUGGCGAACGGGUGAGUAACACGUGAGUAACCUGCCCUUGACUUUGGGAUAACUUCAGGAAACUGGGGCUAAUACCGGAUAGGAGCUCCUGCUGCAUGGUGGGGGUUGGAAAGUUUCGGCGGUUGGGGAUGGACUCGCGGCUUAUCAGCUUGUUGGUGGGGUAGUGGCUUACCAAGGCUUUGACGGGUAGCCGGCCUGAGAGGGUGACCGGCCACAUUGGGACUGAGAUACGGCCCAGACUCCUACGGGAGGCAGCAGUGGGGAAUAUUGCACAAUGGGUGCAAGCCUGAUGCAGCGACGCCGCGUGAGGGAUGGAGGCCUUCGGGUUGUAAACCUCUUUCGCCAGUGAAGCAGGCCUGCUCCUUGUGGGUGGGUUGACGGUAGCUGGAGAAGAAGCGCCGGCUAACUACGUG